AUUGAACGCUGGCGGCAGGCUUAACACAUGCAAGUCGAACGAGUGGCGGACGGGUGAGUAAUGUCUGGGAAACUGCCUGAUGGAGGGGGAUAACUACUGGAAACGGUAGCUAAUACCGCAUACCAUCAGAUGUGCCCAGAUGGGAUUAGCUAGUAGGUGGGGUAACGGCUAACCAAGGCGACGAUCCCUAGCUGGUCUGAGAGGAUGACCAGCCACACUGGAACUGAGACACGGUCCAGACUCCUACGGGAGGCAGCAGUGGGGAAUAUUGCACAAUGGGCGCAAGCCUGAUGCAGCCAGGCCGCGUGUGUGAAGAAGGCCUUCGGGUUGUAAAGCACUUUCAGCGAGGAGGCGUUACUCGCAGAAGAAGCACCGGCUAACUCCGUGCCAGCAGCCGCGGUAAUAC
rnacentral:rRNA from 1 species